GUUCGAUUGGCCGACUGGAAUACUGCUACACACUCCAUAGUGAGCCGUUGUCAUGGCGACUCGCAGGGUCGCAAUGUGGCUUUGAUGGCGGUUUCUUGACCUCCAUAGUGAACAGACAGGAGAAUGACUUUCUUGUAGAAUCCUUCGGAAACCUGACAAGUUUAGCAUGGAUAGGAAUGGACUCGAGAGGGCGCUGGUUAGAUGGGUCAAGUUCUCAGCUUUUUUACAAUAACUUUAGAUAUGAGACGUUAAACACACAUAGUUGUCCAGUGAUUGACCUGGACAGAAACGGAAGAUGGAACGUCUCAAGCUGUCUAGAUU